rnacentral:rRNA from 1 species
AAAGAAAAUAACAAUGAUUCCCUCAGUAACGGCGAGUGAACAGGGAAAAGCUCAAAGUUGGAACCUCCUGGCCUUAGGUCUGGCGGAUUGUAAACUAAAGCUCUCGAGUAGUUUGGCUGGCCCAGUAAAUAAGUUCUCUGGAAAGGGACGACAAAGAGGGUGAAAUCCCCGUUUUUGGCUGGAGCAUAGUCUUGCGUUUGCUUGGAAGUGAAGAGUCAGGUUGUUUGGUAUUGCAGCCUAAAGUUGGAGGUAAAUCUCUCCUAAAGCUAAAUAUUGACGAAAGACCGAUAGCGAACAAGUACCGUGAGGGAAAGAUGAAAAGCACCUUGAAAAGGGGGUCAAAAAGUACGUGAAAUUGCUGAAAGGGAACCGUAUGAAAUCAGCUUGUCUCUUUAGUAAUCAGCCUGGACUUUGGUCUGGGUGCACUUGCUAGUGAGUACAGCCUACGACAAUUCGAUUUGAGGGAAAAAAUUAGGAGGAAUGUGGCUUCAGUUUCGGCUGAAGUGUUAUAGCCUCUUGAAAAAUACCUUGGGUUGGAUUGAGGAUCGCAGCAGGCCAUUUGGGAUGAACUGUGGGCGCUUGGUCGUGGUGUGGAAGAAAUUUCUAUCUCUGGUAGUGUCUUUCCCAUCAUGGUCAACUCGUCUACUUUUUCUUUUUCCUGCUUAGGUCGUAGGCAUAAUGAUUUUAUA